rnacentral:lncRNA from 1 species
AAAUAAAAUUAAAUUGAUUUACAUAAAAAAAUUAAAAGAAAAGCGGAUAGUGAAUGAUAUAUAACAUAACAACAAAAGGAAUAGCUUAAUAUAUACUGAUAAUAAUCAUAAGUCUCCAAAAUAACAAACAUAAAUCAAAUCAUAUCAUCACAUCUCCGUGAGCUACAAAGCAUAACUGAUAACUCUCUCUCAUUAUAAAAUUUAUAUGUAAUAAGACUCACUCCCUAAAAGACUAAAAACCCAGUGGAUCCGCCGCUACUAAGCCCACAUAACGUCUAAACAACGCAAAAAAAGAAAAAAAAAUGAAGAAACCACUCUACACACCCAAUAAGCUAGUGACACGUAAUCAGAUAGAGAACCGGCCUCUUAAACCCUGAGAACUGAGCCGAACACCAGAGCGGAAAGGAGAGCGACACCAGCGGCGGCUAAGGAAGGCGAGAUCGAGCCGGCUCCGGAAGCGGGAGCUGGAGCGGGAGAGAGAUCUUGAGCCGACCCUGCGAGAACCAAGGCGGCCAGGACAACGGCCAUCAUCAGCGUAGCCAUUGAAGCCUUUGAGAAUGCCAUUAUUGAAGCCUUUUUUUCUCAGGGUUUUUGAGAGCGUAACCGAAGGAAGCUGAGAGAGAUUCUUUUUCCUGUGUCUGUAUGUGGGAAGUGUUAGUAUUUAAGACAUGAGAAGAAAAUAGUGAGGUUUAUUUAUAGACUGAAAAGUGUGGACGGGAAGAGAGAAUUUCGGGCAGCGGCCCGGAUUUUUCCAGUCUGUCUAUUGGUUUCUUGACAGCUAUGUUUAUUUGUGGGGCCCAGUUAAUUAUAAUUUCACGCGACCGUUUAGGGUAUCGAACGGCGAAGCGACGUCGUGUCGGUUCACGAGUGUGACUUACGCCGAGGAAAUAAUUGAUUCUUUGGGAUUGGGAAAAAUUUGAGCAAAGUAAAAUUACGGAAACAGCAGCGAAUUAUAAUAUCGCAGUCUGUGAUAAACUUGAUAACUAUCUACUUGAAUUGAUAGGACAUAUAAAAAGAACAUUGUAUUAUUUAAAGGAUUGAAUAAUUUAAUUGAUAAAAAUCUCUUACCGCUAAGUUUGGAGAUCCAUUUGCACUCAAAUUUGGUGGAGGAAAAUUUUGAUUUCAGUUGUGUUAUGUUAUUAACAAAAAUUAUUGUUCAAAAAAUGCCUUUUUGUAGCUGCAAUAAAUGAGAAAAUUUUAAAGUACUUUUUUUUUAUUAUUUAUAUAAAUUGAACGAAAUCUUGGUGUGAUUAUUUUGUAAAUUCUCGAGAACUUUUGGGGUGGGGUGGGGGAUUUUGUGUAUGAAUGUAUGAUGAGUUCAUUGAAGAGGCGAAUGUUUAAUGGUGGGAUUGAUGAUUAGGGAUCAGUGAUGGUGCAGUUGAUUCCGCUACAAAGAUUUUUGUAAGCGCCCACAGACAGCCCACGUGGGAUGCGGUGGCUCGACCAUUAGGAGGAGGACGCGUGGAGACGUGGAAGGGCACGGGCUUUUUUAAUAUUCGAAUUUUGAAUUUGAAUAAUCGGAUGUGGACCUGUGGACAGUAUGAAAUGAUCGUGAAUUUUGUGGGUUUCCAGAACUUUCCGUUUGGCGUGUGCGACUGUGUGUUCAUUGGCAGGCACAUGUAGGAGUGUUACGAAGUUUACGCGUUAAACGUAUGCGGAAAGAAAAUGGUUUAACUUUGGGUAAAUGUUUAAAAAAGGAAAUUUCAAUCAACGCUUCUUCUUCUUCUUCUUUUUUUUUUUUUUAUUCCAUAAAAGAAGAUCUUUAAUUUCUGUAAUUAUAUCAUAAUUGAGUCCAAGAAGAUCUGGCUGCAUUGUUGUAAUUUUAUUUAGUUAACCAUAUAAAUUUGAGUCCCGAAGUUAAAAACUUAAUUUUAAUUUUAACUGCUCUUCCAUCUUCUUUUUGUUUUUGUUUUUGUUUUUAAAUGAUCAUGAAACACCUCUUCUCAUUAAUUAAUGUAGAAAAAAAAAGGUUUCAACCACUCCUACGUAUAUUAGCAUGAUUUCUUUUUUAAAUAUUAUUUGAUUGGUAUCAUUGCAAAGUUAAUUUAGAUUCAGUAGUUUAUUUUGGCUAAAACAUCAUAUAUUUAAGAUGCAUCAUCAGAAAAUUGAUUUAGAGUCACCUAAUUUUGAGCUCAAAUAUUAUAUAUUUGCACUCACAAUCAUAUAAUUGGUUUAGAUUUAAUCUGUUUUAAGCUCAAAUAUGUAGCUAUCACAUAAAUAAUUUAGAAUGUUACAAUAUUCUAAGGGCGUGGUCGGGUUAAUUAUAGUGCAGUUGUAGCCUCUACCAAAAUCCGGGUUCGAUUCUUAGAGAUCAAGAUUAUGUUUAGGCUCGCCCACCUCCUCUUACUUUAAAAAAAAAAAAUUUAGAAGGUUACUAAUAUUUUUUUAAUUAUAAAUAUCAAUAUAUAUUGUAAUGUAAUAUUCUUUUUUUUUUUAAAAAAAAAAGGUCAGGUAGAAUUGAUCUCCCUCAUACCAAAUUUUGUAAAAAAUAAUUUAGGUUAUGCCGAUUCAUAAGAUGAGGGGUUCAUAUAGUUUAGUUCAGUUGAUAAUUUUUUUUUUUUGGUUGAAAAAAGAGAUAUGAGAUUUAAAAUCAGUUUAGGUGAGCAAGGACGGUUUUGGGUUGUCACCGAGCUAAAUUAAAAAGGAUUAAUGAGAUGAGACGAGUGGUUUGUUAAAAAGAAUAGUGCCACAUAUUAUAAAGUUUGUGUCAAAAAAAUUCAUCCUAUAAAAGAAGAGACACUCCUAAUAGGCAUGAAAAAAAAUACAAUAAAUCGUUUUAAAACAUAACUGUGACUAGAACAUCCCCUUGUGAAGAUAUAUUUUUUAUUUUUUUAAAAAAAAUUAUUUAAAUAUCUCUAAUGUUCAUGCAACAAAUACGAUGAAUAGUCACAAGGGCAGUCUAGAAAAAGGCAUUUACAAAUACACGGCGGGCCAACAAAGAAUCAUUCACCUUCUAAUCCUUCGAUGUCUGCUUGCAACUCAACUAAACUAACAGCAUUCCAAAAUCAGCAAGAAAACGAUUUAAGAACUUAUUUUGGAAUGCUAUUAGUUUUUAAGGAUUAAUGAGAUGAGAUGAGUGGUUUAUUAAAAAGAGUAGUACCACCUACUGUAAAGUUUAUGUCAAAAAAAUCCAUCCAAUAAAAGAAGAGACACUCGUAAUAUGCAUUAAAAAAAAACACACAAUAAAUCAUUUUAAAACAUAACGUGAAUCAAACAUCACCUUAUGAAGAUAUAUAUAUUUAAAUAUCUCAAAUGUUCAUGCAACAAAUGCGAUGAAUAGUCACGAGGGCGGUCGAGAAAAUGCGUUGACAAUUACACGACCGGCCAACAAAAAAAUCAUUCACCUUCUAAUCCUUCAGUGUCUGCUUGCAACUCAACUAAACUGAUAGCAAUUAGCAUACCAAAAUAAGCCAAAAAAAAAAAAAAAAAAGAUUUAAGAAUCUUAUUAUUUUACUCGUUAAUAUUGCUAAGCAUAUGGCAGCCCUGGGCGGCUGUGGAGUGCAGCCUGGCGUUGGAUUUGCUCACAGACAGGACCUGUAAGGCUGAAACAACACGGCAGCAACAAAGAAAGUAGUUUUAUUUACGUAAUACAAUUUUUUAUACCUUUAUUUUUUAUCUGCAUGAUUUAGUUCUUACACAGACGUGCUAACGAGAAUCAUCCAGUAGCUGGUGUCACUUGUCAACUACUCCUUAACUUAAAGAGCAUAUUUGGGAUUGUCAAGUAUUCCCAAAUUAGUGAUUAUUUGAGAAUUUGUUAUCACAUAUGGUUGGUUCGAGUUAUUCUCUCAGACAUAUCACACCAAUAAUCAUCAAAUAAGUGAGAAUCAAACAAAAUUUGAAAGCAAAUUCUCAAGUAAUUGGUUAGAUUGUAUGAAAAUUUGACUUGUGAAUAUCAAGUAACCUCAGAAUUAGAAUGACUGUAAUGUAUACAUUGGCAUUUACUAUUUACUAAUCACCAAUCAUAGCUUUCUAUUUGGCUCAAUGGCUGAGUGCAAAUCCAGAUGAGCAUGAAAUUCAAAUCAACUCAAAAACCGUUAGAGAAAACAAAAUAUCUUUGAAGUAGUUAUCACUUCAUUAUUAUCAGUAGGAUGAAAAUGAUCGAAGUUAAAAACGUCCAAAAUUAUUAAAUUCAUUUAUCUAACCUGAAUAAUGGACACAUAUACCACGUUGGCUGUCAUUCCUCUGUACAUACAAGAAUCUCACUGUAUCAUCAAAGAGGCUAAUCCUAUGUAACAGUCCUCUCAAUUCGUAUUAUGCAACACGUCUAUCCGAAAAGCUCCUAAUCAUCUUUCUUCCUCGGCUAUUACCAUUCAUUCAAAAGUCAACUCAAAAGGUAGACAAAUUUAUUUGUUAAAAGCCCAAAACUUUAGAUGAUAUAUUCAUCAGAGGUUGUAAAGCACUCGGUGCAAAUUUUCUUCCAAAGAGAAAGCAAACUGUAGAGGGCUGGUUAUUGUAUUUGCAAUGCUGACCUCCAUAAACUUUCUUGAAAAACUCCUCUGUUAUGUCGGCUCUUCCGAAUGUGGCUGGAUGAGCACCACCUCUCGACCAAUCAACCCAAGUGCUGCUUCUAUUUGCCAAGAGAUUUGGCAUUUGAAUAGAUAGCAUGGUGGGAAAAUAGUGUUCGUCCACAUAACAAGGUGGUCUACAGAAUUCCGCGAAUUUUGGAUAAUAUGUAGUAUCUUCCACAAUGUUGACUGCAAGCCUUCGGUUGAUUUCAAACCAUUGGGAUCCUUUGCGCCACUGGGUAAUGUUCACCACAGGUGCCAUGUUCGCAUUGUAGCGUCCUCUCCCAUAUGGUCCAGGGUCAUCAAAUGAACCCAUGAAACUAUGUUUGGAUUUCUUUAUGUAAUGGUAGAUGAGGGAGAAAUUAUAAAGAGGAAUGCAAGACUCAGAGACAAGAAUGAACCAUUCAUUGGAGAUAUCAAGCAAUGCAUUAGCAAGGAGUCUUCUCUCAGCAUCGCACAUGCUCAUUUUUCCCCAUUCAGAGAUCUGCAAAGGGAAGAUACAGAAGACAUUACAAUCUCCUCUAAAUUUUGGGAAAUAUUGUAUUCAAAGCUAUGUGCUAAAGUAAAUAGAAUAAGCAGAUAAAGCAUAACCAUCAAAGGCUUUCAGAAGAAUGCAAGACAGUUCCACUACCAAACACUUCACCUAGAACAUGUAAUGAUAACAUUUGGUAAAGGUAAUCAUAAAACCUGUUAUUUUCCAGGAUCAAAGGGUAUCAAGUAUCAAUUUUACAUUUGGGACAGGAUUAUGGUAGCUGCUUGUUGUUGAAAUGGCACUGUAGCAGAGCUAACCAAAUCAGAUCUCCAUUUCUUGGAGGAUUUGUAUCCUGUUCCAGUUACUACAAGGGGGCAACUCAAGAACAUACAUGUCUUCCUACUUGUCCAAUACAAAAACGUAGGGAGAAAAAAAAAAUCAAAUAAAACGCACUUCGUCGAGCCAAUAUACAUACAGACAGCUCAACCCUCCCCCUUGGUGUUUUGGGAUCCAAAAUUUUUCACCUCCACACGAUAUAUGGCAGUGGUUACCAGCCUUAGAUAAACUUACACUGUUGCAGUUCCCAACUUUCAAAAUUCAACCCAAAAAAUGACCGACUCUUAUUGUUGAUCAUUCACUCAAACCCAGUUUUGCUGGUGAAAGUUAUAAUGUAUGCCAUCAAAUUAAUUAGAAAAUGUUUGCCAAGUAACAUUCAAGAAUGCCACCAUGUCAUCUAUGGAUUGUCCGCUCCUGCUAGAUUCCUCGCAAUUUCUCAUGGACUCCAAUAAUCCGUAAGGCAAUCAGGGGAAAAAAAAAGGAGCAAAAUUUUAACUUGGCUAAGCAAAAACAGAAUAUAUUUAGUUUAUAAACAGAAUCUGUUAAUCAGCAUAUUCCUAUUCAACAGAGUAUUUCUAGACUUUGAUCGUGAAUCACCAUGCAUAUAAAAGUGAUGAUGCUAAAUGGGAACACUACUUUCUACUUUCAAACACCAAGAGCCUACAGAUGACUGAGAGGUCCUAAGAACUGAAGAUUGUUAAACAAAAUUCGGAAAGCUAUGCAAGCAUGCUAACACUAUAUAGAUCCUCAAAAGAAUAAUUCACAUUAUAGGUAAAAAAUAAAGUACUGCUCAUCAUCACUCAAGAGAAGAAGAUCAUAACUUACAUCGUCAUAUAAUCAAUAGUACAACAAAGAUGAUCAGAUGAAGUUUCCACCAGAAUUUUAAAUGAAUAAAUAAAACCUGCAAUAGAUAGAUAUAAUGUCAGGCAUACCUGACUUGGGAUUUGUCUGUUGUAAAAAACUGAUGAAGAUGGAAACUUGUUCUCGAAUGUUGGCAGAGAAUGAACAUAGAUAGAAUAUAGCCCUUCAUGCCCCUUGAAAAACUUCUCCCAAAGAGGUCCAAGAGGUAAUGGCCCCUUCGUCAAGAACAUAAAUGCAAUCUUUGGAACUCUCUUAAAGGGAUACUCCUUCACUCGAGGCACAAAUGAGGCCCUCCAAAAAAGCUCCUUAUCACUCAUUGUGUGCAUUAAAUUUGAUGGAGGAUUUAUCCAAUAAUCCAAACCAUUCGGUAGUUCAGGGCAUGCCACAAAACUGGACUUAACCGUUGUCACAACACUCUGGACUCCAAACCGACGAACUGAGUAUAUACUAAUCAACGAAAAGGCUAUACACAGAGCCAGAAACAAACCAAAUAACUGAAAUAAUCUCAGUGGCAAGGCCCUAAAUUGAUUUGUCUUGUUAACAACUGCAGGGUCUUUGCCUUCCUCUAGCGGAACAACCCUUGCUUGCAUCUUUAUAACUCUAAAUCAAAUCAAAAUUUCACCUUCUGCGUCAGAUCCAAAUCAACAUCCUAGCAUCAAAAGCACUACUAAGCCUCAAAAUACCAGCUAAUUUAUUCACCAGAGCUAGCAAAAAAAACAGCUUUUUUUAAAUAUUUGAAAUUUGUGGAAUUCAAUAUGUUUCAGCAAAACAACCCCACUUAGCAACAGUAACGAAAUUAGAUCUAGAGCUGACACUACAGUACUCAAAAAGCAAGUAUUAACAGAUAUAGCACAAUCAUCAGCUUUCACAGCACAUGGGUUUCUUGAAUAAGAAGCUCUUAGCAAAAAUCAAAAGUCCAGAUCGGACUACUUGAUAGUCUAUAGAUCAAACGAAACCAUUAACGUGAUUGGUGGGGUGAUGAAAAACAGUACACGAUGGUGAACGUUCAACAUACCAUGUAAAUUUGUUGGGGCUAUAUGAGGAAACAAAGUUUGAAGCUUUAGCUCGAAUUGCGCCACCAAAGAAGAGAAACAGAACGGUCAAAUAAAUGAACAAAGUUAGGCAAAGAAAAUAAGAGGAGAAAAAGAGAAAAGUCCUUGGGACGCCCAAAGAGAGAGAGAAAAGGAGGUCCAAGAAAGUGGGGAAUCAAGGAAAUUUUGAGUGUGUGUGUAUGUAUGUAUAUAUAUAUAUAUAUAUAUAUAUAUAUAUAUAUAUAUAUAUAUAUAUAUAUAUAUAUAUGGGACUUUGAAUUUGAGGAAAUCACAGAAUUGUAAUUAGGUGAAUUGUGAAAUGUGGAGAAUUCAAAGAAUGUUUUUUGAUUUAACACGUACAGUGGAAGUGUCUGCUUCGUCUUUUGUGGGUUAGCCGUCACCAUGUGAGAGGCGGUUUUUGCAAGGUAAUAAUACGGCAAUGUCUUGCUGUCAUUUUGUAACGUUUUGGAAAACAAAUUUACCCUGAUUCAUUUGCCUUGAUAGAUCCUUUUUUUUUUUUAACCUUUUUUUUUAUAACUUGAAAUAGAAUGAAAUUAGUCAAAAUUUAAAUUUGAAUGAUAUGUAAAUUUUUUUAAAAUUUUUAAAAAUAAAUAUUAAAUUAUUUGUUUUUUAAUUUUAAAAAACUGACAGCCUAUACUUUUACAUUUUUACCCUUACUAAAUUUAAAUGUUGAAUAAAUAAUAUAUUUUUAAAAGAACUUAAAUAUGAUAAUAACAUUAUCUUUUUUUUUAAAAAAGGAUAAUAACAUUAUCUAAAUCAUCUUCAAGUAAAUGAUUUAUGAAAUCAUUCACUUGGCAUAGGGUUGUUCUAACUUAACCAAUGUUUUUUAUUCGAAUCUUGAAAAUGCAGUUGCGUUAAAUACUUAUUGGAAGAGCUUUGACGCCCUAGUGGUCUUACCCAGCUCGAAUUUGAAUUAGUCGAGACCUAAUGUAGUUUCGGAUACCAAAUAGUUUAAUACACGAAAAAAAAAAUUUAUAAAAUUAUAAUAUAAAAAGUUCUUUAAAAUUAUCACAAGUUCACAAUGCUAGUGCGUAAUAUAAGAAAAAACUAACAAGAUACUUGGGAAGUAAAAAAAAAGAAAGAAAAAACUGAACAAAAAUUCUACAAGAAAAGACUGUCAAUGGAAUCAAUUAUGGACUAUCAAAGGCCAUAAAGGAGAUUCAAGAAAUCCUUCGCGUGAAUGUUGUGUCUCAUCAUGAAAAGUAUCUUGCCUUGCCAUCUAUGGUAGGGAAAAACAAAAGACAAUUCUUCAAGUCGAUCAAGCUUCGAGUGCUCAACAAAUUAAAAGGAUGGAAGGCCAGGCUCUUCUCAAGCGGUGGGAAGGAAGUAUUGUUAAAGGCUGUCAUUCAAGCCACUCCUGUUUAUGCUAUGGGCGUUUUCAAGUUGCCAAAAUGCUUAUGCGAGGACCUACAGCGUUGCAUCACAAAUUGUUGGUCGGCCAACUAUGAUGACUCUAAAUGCAUUCACUGGCUUUCUUGGAAGAAUCUUUGCAAGCCAAGGAAGGACGGGGGGCAUGAGAUUUAGAUAUUUAGGUCCUGUUUGUGAUUGAAGUAUGCUGUUAAAAAAAAUUAUAGUUAUAUUAUAAAAAUUAAUAAUAUGUAGUAAAUAUAAAUUUUAAAUAAUAAUUUUGACAAAAUUAUUAAAGAUAUAAUAGAUUUUAUAUUAUACAAGUGAAAAAUCAUAUCAAUCUAAUUUUUAACUUAUAGCAGUUAGUAUUUACUGAACACUUUAGUGCUGUAGCUUAACCUCAAUCUCAAACGCGCUCUUAAGUUCCUUUAAUUAAGCGCUCUUGGCCAAGCAAUGUUGGGGAAUACUACAAGCACCUGAGUCUCUUUUGGCCAAAGUUCUUAAAGCUAGGUACUUUUCCAACACAAACUUCCUAAGUAGCAAAAUCAAAAGCGGCUCAUCUUUUGUAUGGAAGAGUACUCUAUGGGGCCGUGAAGCUAUCAACACUGGCUCAAGAUGGAGGGUUGGCGCUGGUAGGAGCAUAUUUAUUUAUAGAGAUAAUUGGAUGCCAAGUCCAUUAUCUUUUAAACCUAUAUCCCUGAAGACAUGCAUUGCCGAGUGAUUCUAAAGUUUCAGACCUGUUAAUAAAUGGUAACGAAUGGAAUGAGCAGCUAAUAAAGUAAUUCUUAAAAGGAGUCCCCUUGCCACGAGUCCCUACUAAUGACAUUUUAGUGUGGCGUUAUGAAAAAAAGGAGGAUUUUACACAGUUAAGAGUGGUUAUCAAGUGUCCCUUAUUCUCACUCAUCCUAAUUCCCCUUCAAGUUCAUUUGGCUCCGCUAAUUGGUGGUAUCCCUCUUGGCUUUUAACCAUUCCAUCUAAAGUCAAGAUCUUUUUCUGAAGAGCUCUACGCAAUAUACUCCCUACAUCAAAUAAUCUUUUUCAACGAAGGGUAGUGGAUUCCCCACAUUGUCAACGAUGUUACAGUGCUGUUGAGGACACCUUUCAUGUGCUAGUUAGCUGUAAGUUUGCGAUGAAGGUGUGGAAGUUGUCAACUAUGGCUGCUCACGUCACGAAUAGCCCUAAUAUGGAUUUUGCAUUUUUUUUGCUAAGAAUUUGGAAUCUUCGCUGUCAAAAGAGGACUACUAAUCUUUUGUGAUGAUUGCAUGGUCUAUUUGGCACUCUAGGAACAUAGCGCUCUAUCAACAUCAGAUGAUGGAUCCACAAAAUAUUCUUUGUGGCUGAAGCUGUUUUGAAUUCGACACUGCUACUCAAGGCUCCCCAAUUCAAGAGCUAUCGGUCUGUCCAACCGAGACGGAUGUUGGUUGGAUUCCACCAGAGACUCAUUGGUACAAAAUGAACGUUGAUGCAAACACUGACAUCUCUAAUGGAAUUACAAGUUUGGGUGCAAUAAAAAGAAAUUCCAAGGGAGAUUUCAUGGCUGCCUCAGCUCGCAAGAAAUCUUUUCUUGGUGACGUUGAGAUUACAGAUGCUGAGGUUGUCCUACAAUGCAUCAAGCUGGCGACAGAUUCGGACUUCUCUCCCUUGAUUGUCGAAUCUGACUCGGCAAAUGUUGUUCUUGUUGCAAAAAUAGUAUAUCGAUAUGCUACUUCGAUGGCACAUUUUGAGUGGGUUCCACGUAGCGAAUGUGGAAAAUCUUGUGAGGUUUGGAUUCUACUCCAUGAAAACUUCGAAAGUGUAUAUUUAUGUACUUAAAAUGGUGCUUGGCUGAAUGACAAAUUGUCUCUCAAAGUGCACUCUUGAAGUUGAAAAUUUGAAAGGAAAUGAGUUUUAUCCCACAAGGGAAAAUAAGUCAAGGGAUUUGUGUUUAUAUAUACACUUACCCAUGCAUGAGUAAGAAUUAUAAGGAUAGAGGUUUUCUCCACACGCGCAUGCGCCGGGGGAGGGGGUGUUGUAAAUUCUAGACUUAUUUGGUUAAAUUUGUGUGCGUCCGUGCGUCCUGCGCACGCGAAUAUCAGUCCAAAAUCACCCAAACUUGCAUGUCAAACAAGUUUUUAGAAAUUGUAAUACGCCCAUUAAUUAGCGAAAUUGACACUCUCUGUUAUUAACGAUCUUUGUUUGGUUGGAAGACCCUCUCGCAGACAUUGUGGUACACAUGUAAACUUUGUAUUUGUCCAGCAAGGAAAUGUUUUAAAAAAAAUAAAAAUUGUCGACUAUCAAAGGAACCGAUUCACUCUUAAACUUACAGUACACAAUAUUACAUGCCAAAUUAUGACUAAUUAUGCCUAAUGCAUUAAUAUCCUUUCACAACGGUGAAAUCUGAAGGCCCAAAAAUAUUGUCACUUGUUCAAGCCAAAAUAUUGAGGCCAGAUAAGCACCCUAAGGUCAAUAAAUAAUUAACGAAAUCAUACUAGCUUUCUAAUAAAAUCUAUCGAAAGUAAUAUAAAUUGAAAAAUGAUGGAGCACUUUUUAACCCUAAAGGCCUAAACUCAAAUUCACACCUUUAAGAAUGAAUUAAAAUCUAAUUAAAAAAAAGAUUUUAUAAAAAAAGAUUAUAUAAGGAUGAGUUUAUUAGUUGUACAUGGGUGACUUUUUUGAUAAAUAUAGAAAAUAAAUAAUUAAAUAGAGAUAUUUUUGACAUUAGAAUUUUAGUCGGUUUAUGCAGAAUUUUUAAUUUAGUAAAACGUAAAAAAAGAGGCUUAUUUUAUUCCAUCAAAAUUAUCUAAAAACCUCAUUAAAUCAUAAAAAUAACCAUCUUUAAUUGACUUAAUUAAUUAAGUUGUCAUUUAAUUAGAAAAAGAUACACCCCUUAGUUUUUAAUUCAAUUCGUAAUUAAACAGGAUACGUCUCUGUCAUUUGUGCACAAUUAAUAACAAUGCUUAUCCAGAAUCCUUUUAAUCGGCCUUUAAAUUGAAUAAGAAGAUGUUUGGAAGAAUUUUUUUAUCUCUAUCAUAAAUUGUGAGCAAGAAGAGAGGGCAUAUAACAACUAAGAGAAAAUAAGUACAAAGCACGAAAACCAGCUCUGCACUUUUUUCUAGUUCUUUCAGAUUCUGCACUCCGUUUAUUCCCCUCCCAUGUCAUGAAGAGAUGGGUCUUUUUCUCUUCUUCUUUUUUUUUUUUUUCCUAAUAUAAUUUCUAAAAGAAUUUAUGAACAAACAGGUAUUUAUAUGCACAAUUAAUCACGAGUCGCACAAACCAGUGAUUCCUGGCCACGAUCGUGCGAUAUUACGACAUUGCUGAUUUUUUUUCUUUUCUUUUCGUUGUGAGUAAUUAACAUAUAGGGCCCACCAACCACUGCAUCCCGAGAUUGCGUGCCAAAAUCAUGUAAAUUGAUUUUGGAAGUUUCGGAGCUAAGUACGCGUAGCAUUAUUACUGGAGAACAUUCAGCCUUCAAUGCUACGAGAAUUCUCGGGUUGUUGCACAUUGAUUUUGGAAGGUUGGUGCGCAGAAUGCCAUAGAAAAAGCUCACGCAACUCAGGUAAUUAUUUUUCCACGUGGCAGCUACAUGGAAAAUGAACGGGCACAGACUCCUAAAGUGCCACUAAAAUACAGUCGUAAUAGAUUAUACAAGCAAACGAAAGUUUUAAGAAAAAUGAAGUAUCAUUUCCGCAGCCCCUGCACAGAUUAGGGGAACUGCAAAGACAUGCUUUGACAAGAACAAAUCUCGAUUUCAAUCAUUCAGAAUAUUGACAUGCUGCACAAGAAAUUGAAUUCAUAUAUUUUCUGACCAAUGGUGAGUUGCAUCCCAUGGAUGCACUCCAUCAGCAGAACUGUCAACACACCAUGAUAUUUGUAUCCAGAAGACAAACUUUCCUAAAAAACACAACAUCAUUUAGCGAGCCAUUAAUCAGUUGACUGCUGUUAUGACAGCACUUUAUGCACGUAAUCAGAAGUAGACAUAUUUCGUCAAGCAACUCCCAUACAUUGCAUACUACAUGUAAUCCAGUCAAAUGUUUCUACCUCAUUCACAAGGAACAGUUAGGGCGUAUGUACCAAGAGAAGAGCUUUACUUCAGUGCUUCACCACUUCAAACUUGAAGCGGAGGUUGGAAAUCAUAACCGGGCACUCUCCUUUCUCAUCGUACUCGGCAUAGUCCCCUCCUGACAAGUCAAUGUCUUCAUACUGAGUCCCAGCAAGCUACACAAACAACUUACAGUUAGUUCGACAAAGCAAAACCAGAACAAAUAGAAUUUCUUUUUUUGGGGUCAUAGAGAAUUUUUCCUCAUAUUAAUCUCAGAUUAACGAGAUUAAUUUGACUCAUCAUCAUCGCACAAAUAAAAGAUGGCUUUAGUAACAACAAAUGUCUAUGAGGAUAGAAGCAAAAUGUGCAACAAGAAAAAGCAUCAACAGUAAUUAGAAGAAGAUAUAUUGAUGAUGAAUCUUCUUAGCUGCGGCAAAACAUUAACCCAAAAAGUACCAAGUGCAUUUACAGCUGUCUGCAUGGGAAUGAGAUAGUUAGGAGCACAGUAGAAAAAGAGGAGAAACAUGUGUAAUGCAUUCGCCUGUUCUUAUCGAAUGAAUGCAAGUUACACUUCAUCCAGCUCAUCUUUAAUACAGUUAGUAAGCAAAUAGAAUCUUCAAACAAGGUUUCCAUUCCAAAGUCUGCCCACCCUUCGCCAUUCAAGUCAAGAGUAAGCCGAUAGGAGACUGAGAGAGCAAAAAUCUAUUGUCAUGCUCUCCACCUAAAUAGAGAGGCAGAAACCAUAAAGGCUAAACUAGAGCAAAUAAUCAAACAAUAUGCUAACACAUUAAAGAAAAAGCUGGAAAGAAUUUGUAAACUAAAGAGCUCAAUGUUGAAAAUAUUCACAACCGUGAAAUGCAUAAAAAAGGAUAAGAUGUAUCUUAAAUGAAGAUGGUCAUGCAUAAUCAUAAAUACGAACACUCAACUUGCGCUCUGAUAACACAAUGCAGUGCUCACAAGUCAUUUCCAUCCACCACUUGAAAUAUGUCUAAUGUUUAGUGUUCAAAAACUAUGGGGAAAGGGCAAGAAUAGAAACUUACAGAUUCAACUUUCCAUCCAACACCAAAGACGAAAUCCACAGGCUCAUAACCCCUGCAGUCGAAUAACAUCAAGGGGCUAAAACCCCCAGAUUGAGCAGCUUCCUGGGUCAGUGGUUUACCCCGGCCUGGGAUCAUAGUAACAGUUCCUUCUCUCCCACAAAAUUUGCACUGUGAAGAAAGAUAUGGAGCCAGAAAAUCACCAACAACCAGAACACAGUCAUUUUAUAAAUAGAGUGAAAAAGUUUCAUCUGUAAUAUGUCACAGCAACACUUGAAAAUACAGACAAUAUGUCACGGUCAUUUAUACUACAAGUCUCUAACAGAUUAAUCUACCCAAGAAACUUGAAAAUAUGCAAGAAAUCCAUAGUACCAGAUCCUCAUUCCCACACCUUCAAAGUAAUUACUCAAGCUCAACCAAAGAAACUUAAUAAUUCUUUUUCCAUUCUAAAUCCAAGGCAUCAAAAAGCAUAUAUAGGUCAUUGAACAGAAAAAAAAUACAAUUUAUACUAGAAGUCCCAAGAAAAACUAUAUCUUGAAAGCUUGUCGCAUGCAAGCAAUUUUUACAAGAUAUCAAAAGAGCUGAAGAAUUACAUUCAAAUCAUAAAAAGAAAAGCUCUGAAGUUCACAAAGAAUCAUGAGGAUACAUUAUAGAGUUAUGUUCUAUCAUGAUUCCAUGAACUCGUUCACAACAACAGUAACAGAAAGGCCUUGGUUUUAAGUCCAAGAAAUUGAUUUGUUACACUAUGCUACUGCUAAACAUCUCCAGUUUGACUACAAACAAUAAUAUACAUCUAAGCUCAAAUGGCACCAAUUUUAACUAGCUUGAUGAAUAUAUAUAUUCAAUUAGGGAUCUCUGGUUGUAUUAAAGUUGGGAAUAAGCUAACAGACAAAAAAAAAACAGACUCCAGUGCAGUGUAUUUUGUUCCGUAUUGUGUUGAAAUUUGUGUUUUCUGUCAUUUAACUUAUCCCUAACGUUAAUAUGAUCAGGGAUCCCUGAUAGAAAACUCUCUCUCUCUCUCUCUCUCUCUCUCUCUAUAUAUAUAUAUAUAUAUAUAUAGAUAUAUGUGUGUGUGUGCGCGCGCAAUAGUGAUGUACUGCAACCUAUUUUAAUCUCCACUGCAAGUGUAUAUUACUUGAAACAAUUUACAUUAGCAAUAUCUGGUACAAGUAUCAUGACUACAGACCAUCUAAUUGCAUCAUUUAUCUAAAGAUAAAUGAUUAAAUGAAAUAUGUAACUUCACUAAACUAAGCCUGAGGUACCAGUAUAACAGCUUUUCCUUCACAGUUUGAUCAUUUGGUUAGAGCAUAUAUCUAUUUAAAGUCCUCGCAAUAAGACAAACAAGAUCACUCACAUUUUAAUACAUACACAAAGAGAGGAAGAGAGAGAGGUAUUACUUUUUGAAUGAGAUUUGUGGUUCCCUUGCCUCCUUGAGUAGGAAGAGUUUCAGCCAAGCUCACACAAGUUUCUUUCUGGCUUAGUUCUCCGCAUCCACACUUCAACUACACCUCACAAAAAAUAAACAGAUAAACAUCUAAUUCAGAGAGCAUUGCAAGAUUAAAAUUCAAUUCCAACAUUAACUAACUAGAAUCAACAAAACAAACAUAUAAUAUAAUUUGAUAAGAGUGAUAUACAAUGUUACUGAAAAUCAACUUAUAUGAACAUCCAUAAGCAUAUAUAAAUCAGAUCUGAAAAUAAUAUGAUGAGUGACAGAGAUUGAACUGAAUAUAAUCAUUAUACAUAAAAACACAAACAUACAUAACAGGAGACAACAAAUUUGAACACUUAGAAAAAGAAUCAAAACAAAAAAUCCAAAGCAAAACAAGGUGAAGAGCAUUACUAGAGAUCAUAGUCACAAUAAUCAUCUGUAUUUGAAAAUCAAGUAAAAUGAGUAACCUAAAACCAGAAACCUAAAAAUAAGUACUCGCAUUCAUUUGGUGUACGAGAGAGAGCAAUGAAAACAGAAAAGAAAAAUCCAUACCGAAAUUCAUCCAUUAUGUGAAGCAAAGCGAGCAGUGCAAGAAGUAAAUACGAAGUAAAGAAGAAUCAAGAGCGGCGAAACGGAGGUAAUACUGAGGGAGAGAAAGAGAGGGGACCUUGAAGAAGUAAGAGAAGUUAGGAUCGUCGCAGCCGCCUUGAGGUUGGAGAUUGGUGAGGUUCUCGAGAUCGGCGCUGAUCAUCAGCAUGCAAUUCACCAUUUUCGCUUAGCUUUCCAGUGCCAAAAUAUUCUCUCUCUAUUUUUUCAGCGUGCUGGAUGGACGGAUGGGUUGAGACUUGAGAGAGACAAGGUAAGUGCUCGCCGCUUCGAUCGAGGGAAUUCUAUUAUACGCGCGUGGCUUGGCGAAUGUUGCCCGCCCACGGAGAUUACAUCGAUACGAUAAUUGUUUUGAACGACAUGUCGUAUUUUUCUUGGAUGGUAAACAGACAAGACGUUUAUACUUGGUGAAAAUGCUACAAUUUUGUAAUCGGGAUUUGUAUGACCAACUAGGGUCGCAUAAAGUCAGUAGAGUUUGGUAUACAUGUACAAAUAAUUUGUUACGUGCUUUGUAUCUAAGCUGGAGAUAGUAUUAUGAUUUUAAAAAAAUUUUCAAACGAAAAAUUUUAACGAAAUCUUUCAAUUUUUUAUUUCAUUGUAUUUAACUCUAUAUAUUUCUCUAUUCGUAGAGUACAUUGAAUGUACAAAAAUAGUUAUAACAUAAUUCUUAUUAUUUGUAUUAACAGUUACUCUAUAAACAAUGUUGUUGUGAAGCUGUUAGUUUAAUUAUGUUACUAGUAUGCUGACGUGGCGAGCUGAGCUGGAGUGUGGGCCUGCUGUUAGUUAGAAGCCGUUAUUAUUAACGGUUGAUUCCAAAAACAGAGGCAUGCAUAUAUAAGGGUUGGUUUGUGGCAUAGUUAGCGUGUGAUUUUAAGGGUGAUAGAGUGAGAGAUAAUAAAUUCUGUAAACUAAAGAUUUAAUCUCUGCACUCCAUAGAUUCUUUGUGUAAUCGUCUCCAUUAAUAAAGCUUAAGCCUUCUGCUGGUUUUUCAGCCGUUGAUGUAGGUACCUUGAUACUGAACCACGUAAACUCUUUCUCUGUGCUUGCUUCUUGGUUCUUGGUUCUUGUUGAAUCUUACUGUUGUUAUUUGUUUCUAAUUCUAGUUCUUGGUUGUUCUGAGUUGAUCCUAUUAUGUUAACUAGUUCAAGGUGGUUGCAUUUGUCGAUUAAGCAUUAACAAACUGGUAUCAGAGCUUGGUUCAUUGAGGCUGUUCUUGAUCAAAAUGACGACCACCAGAUUUGAUCUCGAAAGGUUUAAUGGUGAUAACGACUUCUACGUCUGGAGUCUUAAGAUGAGAGCAAUUCUCAUCCAGUAAGGGCUUGAUAGUGCUCUUGAUGAUGAAGAUGAAGAUCCAAAGGGCAAGAAAGAACAUGCAUAGGGCUCAUCAAUAUUAGGAGGAGAUCAGAAAACCAUUAAUAACAAGGCUCACAGCACCAUUAUCCUACAUCUCUCUAAUGAAGUGCUGAGAGAGGUUGCAAAAGAGAAGACUACAUCAGGAUUAUGGUCAAAGUUGGAAGACUUAUAUUUGAAGAAGUCAGUGGCCAAGAGAUUAUAUAUGAAGAGGAGACUGUACACCUUCUCCAUGAAAGAGGGAGUAGCUAUAAAUGAUCAUUUGGAUGAAUUCAAUAAGCUAAUCUUGGAUCUUGAAAAUGUAAACAUCGAUUUGGAAGAUGAAGAUAGGGCACUAAUUUUGCUAAGCUCCCUGCCUGAUUCAUUUGAGCAUUUUGUUGAUACUCUUUUAUAUGGAAGGCAGACUCUCAUGUUAAAGGAUGUUAAAAGUGCCUUGGAAUCAAAAGAUUUGAAGAAGAAAUCUAAUGGGAAAGAUCAAAGCUAUGGGGAAGGAUUAACAGUCAAGUCAAAGGCAAAUAAAAAAAACAGCAAAGAAAAGAAAAAUACCAACCAGAAAGAUAAAAUAGAGAAAAAGAAAAAUAAGAAGAAAUGUUAUUUUUGUCAAAAAGAAGGGCACUAUAUGAAGGAUUGUUUUGAGAAGAAAAAGCUUGAGAAGCUUCAAAAGGAAUCAAAUAGGAAGGUUGCCCUUGUGUCAGAGGAUGAAGGAGACUCAGAGGGUGCUGAUGUUCUAGUAACAGUAGAAAAGCAUCAAAUUGGUGAGUGGAUACUUGACUUUGGGUGCUCUUUCCAUAUGUGCCCAAAUAAGCAUUUCUUUAAGACAUUUAGAAGUAUUGAGGGUGGUAAAGUGUUGUUGGAAAUGACUUAGCUUGUAAAGUUGCUGGAAUUGGAACCAUUGAUAUAAGGGAAAUUAUCAAUCAUAUACCCUUAAAUGACAUCCAUAUCAAACGUGUGUGAACACUUUUCAAGUGUAUCACUCGUAUACCAUAAGUUGACAAAACACUUAUGUCGUCCACCAAUUUGUUAACUUCCGUUAGAAAGUUAACAGAAUUGUGACAAAUUGACUAUUUUGCCCUUGAAACUCAAAAUGAGGUAAAAAUAUAAAUUUACCCAAAAAAUUAACGUAAAUUUUCAAUACACAAUUUUUUUUUUAAUUUUUUUUAUUAACAAUACAUUUUUUUGAUUAAAAAAAUGAAUUAUUAAUGGUACAUAAUAUUAACAAUUAUCCAUAAAAAUAUCCAUAUUAUACCAUAAAAAAUUAUUAACAAUAUAUUAUUUACAAUUAUAUAUAUUAUACCAUAAAAUUUUUUAGUUGGAGCUUGGAAGAGUAGAUCUUCAAAAAUUUAGGUUAAAUUUUGGAGGAGUAGAUUCGGUUGUAAAGUAAUUUUUUUAGUAAUUAUUAAUAAUUAUCCGAUAAAUGGGAUGACAUGUCGUUUUUUUUAAUCAAAGUUUCAUCAAUUUUAAAAGACUAAAUUACCCUUAUGAUGUCAGCGCUUGCAAACGGAAGUUAACGGAUUGGUGGACGGCAUAAGUGUUUUGCCAACUUAGGGUAUACGAGUGAUACACUUGAAAAGUGUUCACAUACGUUUGAUACGAGUGUCAUUUAAAGGUAUAUGGUUGAUAAUUUCCAUUGAUAUAAAAAUAUUUGAUGGUGAAAUUAGAAACUUAGAUCAAGUAAGAUAUGUACCAAAACUUAAAAGAAACCUUAUAUCACUAGGCAUGUUUGAUCAAAUUGGCUGUAGUAUUAGAGCUGAAAAUGGUGAGAUUCAUGUGAUGAAAAAUGGUACUACCAUCAUGAAAUGAGUUAGAAAGAAUGGCUUUUAUGCUCUAGUAGGGUCUUGUCUCUUACCUGGAAUUACAACCACUAUGAGUAAUGAUAAAACCAAGCUGUGGCACAUAAGGCUAGCACACAUAAGUGAGAGAGGGUUAAAAGAAUUAGAGAAACAAGGUUUGUUUGGUGAAGACCACAUAUCCUCAUUAGAAUUAUGUGAAAAAUGUGUUUUUGGUAAAGCUACAAUGCAAAAAUUCAAUACAGGAAGAAAAGAAAUAAAACAGACCUUGGACUACAUUCAUUCAUACCUAUAGGGACCAUCACAUGUUCCCUCUCAUGGUGGAGCUAGGUACUUCAUAACCUUCAUUAAUGACUACUUAAGGAAUGUUUGGAUUUAUAUGUCAAAAUAGAAGAGUGAGGCUCUGAAGAAGUUCAAAGAAUGGUUAACACUUGUAGAAAAUCAGACUGGUAAGAAGAUAAAAAGGCUAAGAACAGACAAUGGACUGGAGUACUGCAGCAAUGAAUUUGAUGAAUUUUGUAAGAGCAAGGGCAUAGCAAGGCACAGAACAGUAAGGCACACCCCACAGCAGAAUGACCUUGCCGAAAGGAUGAAUAAAACCUUACUUGAGAAAGUAAGGUGUAUGAUGUUCAAUACAAACCUAUCUAAGCAUUUCUAGGCUGAGGCAGUUACAACAGCAGCUUAUCUAGUGAAUAAAAACCCUUCAUCAGCCUUAAACUUCAGAACUCCACAAGAAGCUUGGUCAGGAAAACCACUAGAUCUUACUAACCUCAAAAUCUUUGGCUGCAAUGCAUAUGCUCAUGUUAGUUAGGGCAAAUUAGAGCCAAGAGCAUUGAAAUGAUACUUUAUAGGAUAUCCAAAAGGCACCAAAGGGCAUAAGAUCUGGUGCAUACAUGACAAGCCCUCAAGAACUCUAAUCAAUAGGGAUGUGGUGUUUGAUGAAGACUCAAUGCUGCUGUCUAAAGUAGAAAAUGAGGUAAUGUCUACUGGUUCAUAUAGAAAACAAGAUGCUGAGUUGAAGGUGGAGCAUGUUGAUUGCUAUCAACCUGCAGAAAUGACUCUAGAGAAAUCUGACAAGGAGCUCAAAUCCUAUGAGCUUAACAAUUAUCAGCUUGCAAGGGAUAAAGAGAGGAGAACAAUAAAAAUGCCUAAGAAAUAUGGCAUUGCUGACCUUAUCUCAUAUGCACGGAGUGUUACUGAAGAACUAAGUGGUGAAGAACCUAUGAGCUAUAAGGAAGCCAUGUGUAGAAGAGAUAAAGCUAAAUGGCUUGCUGCAAUGAAAGAAGAAUUAGCCUCUCUUAAGAAAAACAACACCUGGAUCUUGGUAGAAAAACCCUUCAAUAAAAGACUAGUAGGCUAUAAAUGGAUUUAUAAGCUCAAGGAUGGAGAGUCUGCUGAUAAACAACCCAGGUACAAGGCAAGACUGGUAGCUAAAGGCUUCACACAGAAAGAAGGAGUAGAUUUUAAUGAAGUGUUCUCACCAGUGGUAAAAAACAGCUCCAUAAGGUUGUUGCUUGCUGUUACUACUUUUCUUGACCUGGAGUUAGACCAAAUGGAUGUAAGAACUGCCUUUUUACAUGGUAACCUUGAUGAAGAAAUCUUUGUGACACAACCUGAGGGUUUCAUAGAAGAAGGGACUGAAGAUAUGAUGUGUUUACUUAAGAAAAGUUUAUAUGGCUUAAAGCAGUCUCUAAGGCAGUGGUAUUUGAGAUUUGAUUAGUUUAUGAGCAGCCGUGGUUACAGCAGAAGUCAGUAUGACACUUGUGUGUACUACAGAAGCUUGACUCAUGACAGCUACAUCUACUUACUUCUCUAUGUGGAUGACAUGCUCAUUGGAUGCAACCAGAGGGAAGCCAUAGAGGAACUCAAAAUGCAGCUCAGCACUGAGUUUGAAAUGAAAGAUUUAGGUGCUGCAACGAAAAUUCUGGGUAUGCAGAUUGUAAGAGACAGACCAGCAAGAACUUUGUUCUUUACUCAGGCUGGUUAUGUAAGGAGAGUGCUCAAUAGGUUCAUCGUGGACAGUGCUAAACCUGUGUUGACACAUCUGUCAACUCAUUUUAAGCUCUCUAAGCUCUAUGAGCCAACAACUGAUGUAGACAUAGAAUAUAUAAAGAAUAUUCUCUAUUCAAAUGCAGUGGGGAGUGUUAUGUAUGCUAUAGUCUGUUCCAGGCAGGGGUGUCAAAAACCCCGCCCGGACCGGAUCUGACCUGAACCCGGCCAAUCCGGUCUGGGAAAAAUCCGGACCGCAUAUACUGAAAAAGUGGAUCCGGGUUUCAGAAUUUAAAACCCGGACAUUUCCGGACAUGGUCCGGGUUCAGCACUAAAAACCCAAAACCCGAACCCGGACCCGUUUUCCGAAUAAACUUAAAAAAAAAAACUAAAACUAGUUACCCAAACCCAAAUCGCAAAACACCUAAAUCCGAAAUCCCUAAUUCCCCAAAUCGCAAAACACCCAAACCCAAAGGCAUAAGCAGCGAUGCUACCACCGUCACCGUUGGCUAGCACCCACCGUCAGUCCGUCACCGUCGCCCCUCGGCAGUCGGCAGUCGGUAGUCGGCAUCAUCUCUUCUCGUUUGGCAUUUACUGACUCGGUUUUGCUCGAUUUUGCUCGGUUGUGGCUGUGACGGGAGUUGUUCGUGCAGCGGCAGCAGCGCAGUGCAGCCCCCUCCGGCGCCGUCAGCGUCAGCGUCUGCGCCACCGUCUCCAACUCUCCAUUGCCACUUUGUCAUCCACCAUCAGUCCAUCACUCUGCCAUCACAGCCACCACUACCAGCCGCAGGUAUUGAUUUUUUUCCUUCCAUAUUUUGUCUUCCUAGUUGCAUUUUUGCCAAUUGCUUCUCCAUUGGUGUUGGUUGUUGCUAUUCGUGUUUAUCUUCGGCCAAUUUUGUGCAUUUUGACCGUAGAAUAUGAGGAAAAUAUGGCCAAUUUUGUGAGGGAUCCUUAUUGCCUGCUCGUAUAAUGACAAUGUUGAUAAGCAGAGAAAAUAAUAAUCACGGGAAAAGCAAUUUUGUGCAUGGUUGCUGACUUAUAGUGUGAGCCUGUGAUUACUGUAACUGUUGCUCUUUUUUUUCGGCCAAAUCCUUUUGCCUAUUUUAAUUUUAUGUUGCUGAUUUACUGUGAGCCUAUUAGUUAUGUAAUCUGUGAGCCUGUUAGUUAUGUAAUGAUAAGUUUAUUCGUGUUUAUCUUCGACCAAUUUUGUGCAUGGUUGCCGACUUGCUGUGAGCCUGUGAUUACUGUAACUGUUGCUCUUUAAAUCAAUUCUUCGAGUGCUCCAGAUUUAUCUCGUAAUGUUGAAGAUAAAAUUGAUAAUGAGGUUGAGGAAAUUUCAGUGUCAACCGUGAAUGAUAAGAAAAGUAAGGAAGAAACUAGAAAAAAGAAGAAAGUCU